rnacentral:rRNA from 1 species
GGUUAGUGGCGGACUGGUGAGUAACGCGUAAGGAACCUGCCUAUUAGAGGGGAAUAACAGUGAGAAAUCAUUGCUAAUACCGCAUAUGCCAUAGAUAUCACAUGAUAACAGUGGGAAAGGAGCAAUCCGCUAAUAGAUGGCCUUGCGUCUGAUUAGAUAGUUGGUGGGGUAACGGCCUACCAAGUCGACGAUCAGUAGCCGGACUGAGAGGUUGAACGGCCACAUUGGGACUGAGAUACGGCCCAGACUCC